UACGUAGGGUGCGAGCGUUGUCCGGAAUUAUUGGGCGUAAAGAGCUCGUAGGCGGUUUGUUGCGUCUAUCGUGAAAACCUGCAGCUUAACUGUGGGCUUGCGGUGGAUACGGGCAGACUUGAGUUCGGUAGGGGAGACUGGAAUUCCUGGUGUAGCGGUGAAAUGCGCAGAUAUCAGGAGGAACACCAAUAGCGAAGGCAGCACUCUGGUACGUGACUGACGCUGAGACGCGAAAAGCGUGGGGGAGCAAACAGG
rnacentral:rRNA from 1 species